rnacentral:rRNA from 1 species
AGCGCGGGGCAACCUGGCGGCGAGUGGCGAACGGGUGAGUAAUAUAUCGGAACGUACCCUGGAGUGGGGGAUAACGUAGCGAAAGUUACGCUAAUACCGCAUACGAUCUAAGGAUGAAAGUGGGGGAUCGCAAGACCUCAUGCUCCUGGAGCGGCCGAUAUCUGAUUAGCUAGUUGGCGGGGUAAAAGCCCACCAAGGCAACGAUCAGUAGCUGGUCUGAGAGGACGACCAGCCACACUGGAACUGAGACACGGUCCAGACUCCUACGGGAGGCAGCAGUGGGGAAUUUUGGACAAUGGGCGCAAGCCUGAUCCAGCAAUGCCGCAUGAGUGAAGAAGGCCUUCGGGUUGUAAAGCUCUUUUGUCAGGGAAGAAACGGUGGGGGCUAAUAUCCUCCGCUAAUGACGGUACCUGAAGAAUAAGCACCGGCUAACUACGUGCCAGCAGCCGCGGUAAUACGUAGGGUGCAAGCGUUAAUCGGAAUUACUGGGCGUAAAGCGUGCGCAGGCGGUUUUGUAAGUCUGUCGUGAAAUCCCCGGGCUCAACCUGGGAAUUGCGAUGGAGACUGCAAGGCUAGAAUCUGGCAGAGGGGGGUAGAAUUCCACGUGUAGCAGUGAAAUGCGUAGAUAUGUGGAGGAACACCGAUGGCGAAGGCAGCCCCCUGGGUCAAGAUUGACGCUCAUGCACGAAAGCGUGGGGAGCAAACAGGAUUAGAUACCCUGGUAGUCCACGCCCUAAACGAUGUCUACUAGUUGUCGGGUCUUAAUUGACUUGGUAACGCAGCUAACGCGUGA